rnacentral:lncRNA from 1 species
UCAAACUGGCCGGUGCGCAUAAGCAGCCAGGUGCAGGGAUGUGGGUACCGGGAUCCAGGGGAACCUACCCUCCCAAAGGCAUGGAACCCUGUGCUAGCGCCUCCGCCCUCUCCCACCGCGCUCCCCUCUGUCCCCGUUAUCCAGGGCAGCCUGGACAUCGUGACCUGCACCGUGGCCGUGAGAAGAGACGACCCAGAGAGAGCUCGUGCUGCAUGCAGCCCUGGGCCUCAGAGUUGAUGAGCUGUGUGCCUCUGCUCAGGAGCCCCUGA